GAUGAAGAACGCAGCGAAAUGCGAUAAGUAAUGUGAAUUGCAGAAUUCAGUGAAUCAUCGAAUCUUUGAACGCACAUUGCGCCCGCCAGCACUCUGGCGGGCAUGCCUGUUCGAGCGUCAUUUCAACCAUCAAGCCCCCAGGGGCUUGUGCUGGGGCCCUGCGGCUGCCCGCAGGCCCUGAAAACCAGUGGCGGGCUCGCUAGUCACACCGAGCGCAGUAGCACAUCUCGCUCAGGCCGUGCGGCGGGCUCCUGCCGUGAAACCCCCCACUGUAACCCCAAAGGUUGACCUCGGAUCAGGUAGGAAUACCCGCUGAACUUAAGCAUAUCAAUAAGCGGAGGA
rnacentral:misc_RNA from 1 species